UCAAUAAAAUGGGAAAGACUAAUCCGAAUAAUAGUAUUUUGAUUAUUCUUCAACCAAUUAGAGACUUCUUCUUCGUUAAGAUAAAAUGUUUUGUAGAAGAAGUAGUUUGCGCUAAUCUUCAUAAUCCCAAUUCAUUUCAAUAACCAUUGAUCUUCUUCAUAUAGAUCUUGAUCAUCGUCACAUCGGGAUUGAUCGUCUUCAAAGAUAUGCUCCAAUCUAUCAUCGAAUUUCAAUACAAGAGUCCAAAGUCUAUAACAAAACGCACUAAUGACGAUUAGAAUUAAUAUUAUUUUAAUGAAAUAGCCAUUAUAUAUACAACAUCAGUAACAUAAAAAUAAAAUCUAAAACCUAAAUCACAAUGUGAUUUUUUAUUGAAAGCAAAAAAAUAAUUAUACGGUUAAAAACCCAAAUUCAAUCGGAGAAUUUGAUAUAUCAGAUUCAAUCCUAAUAAAUUUAGGUUUGAAGAAGAAGAUUUUACAAAAACUAGAUUUGGAUAACUAUUUAGAAAUUUUUUUUAUGGAGAAGACAAUGGAGAGAGUUAAAAAGUUAUUCAUGAUGUUAGUGGAAGUAAAUACGAUCCGGUGAAAUGAACGGUUAAAAUAAAAUUUUAAAAUGGACAUUUAUACAUGUGCUUAGUUUUCUCCUUCGUACACGAUGUACACUAUUACAUCCCAGAAAAUCCCGUUAUCUUCUCCUUCUCUACCAUCAACACCAGAACCCAAACUCAUCCACAAUCUUCACUAUCACCAACACCAUAAUCACCGGCAAUAGCAUCGCCUCCUCCACUACAAUCAACAAUCAAUCCAACACCAAAACCUUGUUAUUUUCCCCCUCUCCACCACCAAACCAACAAAUUUCUCCACCACGACCAUAUCCAGCACCACCUCCUCUACUACAAUCAAUAAACAUCACCUUUCUUCACCACCAGCAAUGAAUCAAAUAUCACCAUCAUCGACAUUUAAAUCGCCAGAUGUAUUGGUUUUCAAAUACCCUAAAAAAAAAUCUUCUAAAGCCCUAGUUUCUCAAAUUCUUCAAUAACUUUCAAAGGAUGAGCAGCGUAGAACAUACAUUGACUGUAAAUAUUCUCCGAACUCGAAGCCAAAGCAGGAGGAAUUUUGCUGAAUCAAAGCACAAAAAAUAAUCCUGAACGAAGAACAAGCAUGAUAUUAAUGUGCAUGUGGAUGUCGAAAAUCAAGCACAAAGGAAAGUCAUGUGAAGAAAAAGUAAGUGAAGAAAACAUUUAGAUCAAGUUUUUUUAUGGAUGAUCACCCCAAUGAAUGAAUUGACAAUCGGAAAUGCUAUUUGACUCCCUUUUUUCCACCUCCCUAUUCACCUCCCUCCAAUCUCAAUCACACAUCCAGAUUUAAAUUCACAUUAGGGUUCACCAUUUCCUAGAUGUGGGGUUUAGAUUGUAGGGAGGUGAUUAGGGAGGUAGAAAAGAGGGAGCCAAAUAGCACGGCCGAUUGACAAUCACACUAAAACAGUGGGAAGUGUUAAAGAUGACUGAAUUCGGGAAUAUAGUUAGUGCACUCAAAAAAACUAGAAAAGAUGGAAUAUUGGAAGCUCAAAAUUUAGCUUCGCUCUUGUUUUGACAAUUCAUUACCCAAGCUCUAUACAUACAGUGUAUGGCAUGAUGAAGGCGUAAUGAUGACCCUAGCUUAGAUUUAUAUUUGAUAUCCCCCCUUUCUUAAACACAAUUUUUUGUUUUAGUUACGUAAUUAUGAUGCUUUGGAGUUCAAUCUUCGUUUACAUCACUAAUUGAUUUACGGUGCAAUACUUUUUAGAAGUUCUUUUGGUUGAGACUUUUGUUGUACAGUUUUCCUACAAAUAUUAAAAUAGGGUUUGUAGCACGGAAAAAUAACUAUAAGGGAUAGAACAAAAAAGUGUUGGUGGUUCGUUUCGUACAUCUUUGUUUGUGGGGAUAAUAAUGUAUUAUUUGAUAUGUGUUUAUAGCAGUACAGUUUUCAUGUUUAGGGAUUUUUCCUUUUUGUUGUUUAACAAAUUGCUAUGAAGUCUAGAUUUGUUUCUAUUUUGUUA